AUGAGGAACCCAGAGGCCAUUUAUUUUGGUUUUCAGUUCAACUUGUCUGUUCUUUUCGGUCCGGAUGCUUUAUUGCGCAUAAUCUUGAGGAAAUCCCCAAAAAUCAUGUCUCAUGUGAAUCUUGAUCAGUUCAUCAGUUUGUCAGGAAAAUAUCAUCUACAAGAAGAAUUGCAAUCUCGUAAUGUGAAGUAUGUUGUAGUCUAUACCUGUAGAGUGCAUUUUUGCAGUGCUGGUAUUCGUGGUCACUCUUUUAUGUUAGAAACAAUGGAUAUAUAUUUAUAUUUUGUAGUGUCAGUACUUGAGAACAAAAGGUUCAGUUUCCAAACUUUAAACAGUUCAUCGCAAGCUUUCGGUGUAGCAAGACAUGCGCCAAUGUGUGUGUGCACUUGA
rnacentral:rRNA from 1 species